AACAAGUCUCACAAGUAACAACACUGGUUCUGCAUUUGGUGCUUCAUUGUCGCCUCCAGAUCCAACUAACUGCGUUCAACCGGACCCAGAAAAAGACCCUUUUUGCCCACCACCCCCCUUCAAAGACUACGAGCUCCCUCCACACGAUGACAAGACAUUACCCCUUCGAAUUAGACCAGCUGCUCAUUUGGUCACUGAUGAUUACAUAGCCAAGUACGAGGAAGCCGUGAGGCGCAUGCAAGACCUUCCACCUGAUGAUCCUCGCAGUUUCAUGCAACAGGCCAAUGUCCACCGUGCCUACUGCGAUGGUCGCGGCUAUACUCAAAAGGGCUUCGCUGACUACAAGCUUGACGUUCACGGCUCCUGGAUAUUCUUUCCUUGGCACCGCUGGUAUCUCUAUUUCUAUGAGAAAAUCUUGGGGAAGAUGAUCGGUGACCCCACUUUCGCUCUUCCGUUUUGGAACUGGGACAAUCCCGCCGGCAUGAGAAUCCCUCCCAUUUUCACAGACAAAAGUUCGCCUCUCUACGACGAACACAGGAAUAGCGAUCAUGUAAAUGCUUUCAUCGACCUAGACUACAAGAAGGACGAUUCUCCUGUGAAACCUCCUCAAACAAUUUUAUGGCCGCCAGUGGAGAAAAAGAAUAACUCGAUCGUCGACAACUUGAUCGUCAACAACUUGAUAAAAGUUUAUACGGCAGUUGCAAGCAAAACCAACUCAAGCCCAGACUACUUCCUCGGGCCAGCAUUCGAAGCUGGUUCUGCACCUCAGCAACACUUUGGAUCUCUGGAAUCUUUGCACAAUACUGUCCACAGCUGGACCGGUGAAAGAGAAAACAAUCACCACGACAUGGGGUUGUUGGCUACGGCUGCAAAAGAUCCCAUUUUCUUUGCUCACCAUUCAAACGUCGAUAGGAUGUGGAACAUAUGGAAGACAGAAUUGCUGGAUGGAAGAAGAUUUGAUCACAAAAGUGACGACUGGUUGGAAUCCAGUUUCUUCUUCUACGACGAGAACAAGAACUAUGUGCGUGUGAAGGUCAAAGACUGCCUCGACUCCAAGAAGAUGGGGUAUGAUUACCAACGUGUUGACCUUCCAUGGCUGUUGGCUGGGGAACUCAUCAAACCAAAGAAGGAGAUUAUUCUCCUUCGUUCAAAACCAGAAGCUUCAACAUUCAAGACAUUACAGCUCCCUCUCCCUCUGGAAUCCAUUGAGCGUACAAACGUGAAGAGGCCGAAGCCGCGAUCCAGGAACGAGAAUGAAGAAGAAGAAGAAGGCGUAGAAGAGGUGUUAGUGAUAGAUGUUGAGUACGAUAGCACUGAUGGUGUGAGGUUUGAUGUGUUCAUCAACGACCAAGGCGACAAUGAGAUUGGACCCCAGGAUUCAGAGUUUGCGGGAAGCUUUGUGACUUUGCCUCACUCGCCGCAUGUCAACCAUAACAACAUCACCAAAGCUUCUUUCAAAUUGCCAUUAACGUAUAAGUUGAAAGACUUGGGAGUAACAAAAGACGAUGAUAGUAUUUCUGUCACACUGGCUCCCAUAUAUGGGGACAAGCCUGUUACAAUUAAGGACGUAAGGAUAAAGCGUGUUUAUCCUGAGGUGGACGAUGAAUAAAUCUAAAUUAUGUGUGUGCUACUGCUAGGGUUUGUUCCUCCAAGGGAUACUCUAUCUGUCAUUUGUUGUUUCUUAAUUAGUGUGUUGUAGUUAUUUUCCUUGGAACUUAAUAGAUCCCUUUCAUCUGUGAGGGAUACUAUGUUAUUGUUAUAAUAAAUGUUUGUUUUAUUGUUACAUUUGUUUAUAAUACAAUAUAACUCCUAAUCUCCUUUUAAUUAAUAUAUAUUAAUUGAAAAGAAUGAAUGAAAAGAAUAGUUUAACUAUUAGUUAGCCAACCUAAGAAGAAAGAUAAUUUGGUUCAAAGAAAUGCUUUACCACCCAUGUUAGUGAAUAUGUUCACUUCUAUUGAUGAUUCUACAACUAUACAUACACUUGUAUGUUCAGUGCAGUUUUGCCUCUAGCUAGGUCGUGGUAUCAUACUUUUAGCUAUAUUGGUAUGUUAUGCCAAUUCCUCAGUAUUUAUACUCGUGUUUUUUCCAAUUCUUGUUUUAUAGCUCAGGUUUAAAUAAGAAAAGGAGAGUUUGCUUUCUUUUUUUGGGAAAAAUGUAAAUUAUAUUAAACCCAAAAUGAUACAAUAAUAAACGGAGCAUAUCCCGCAGUUAAAGAAAAUCAAAAGUCCCCCUUAUACAAGAAGACCUAUAUCAAGAUGCUAAAACAAAUGCAACAAGUGCGCUUGUCUAUACAUAAGAAACUUAAUCUUGCUAAUAACCUCUAUUACAUAAAAUUGAUAAUCUUUAAAAAUCAGCUUGUUCCUAGACAGCCAGAUGCAAUAGACUGUAAUUGUUAUAGCCAGACAACGUAAUUUUCCUUGAACACCUGAUGUGGAUCUGCCCCUAAUUAAAGAGUCAGUAAUGCGCUGUAAAGAAGUGAAACGUCUGUGGAAAGGAGCCAAAUCACGAAUGUGAUCCCAAACUUGAAGAGAUUUCCUGCAAGAAAAGAACAAAUGAGCAUUUGACUCAAUCUCAUUUGAACAUAAAGGGCAGAGGGAACCCUUGUUCAAAAAAGCAACUUUGUCAAGAGUAAGCAGCCGGUUCCUUUUAGCAAGUCACAGAAUGAAAGACAUCUUAGGGGGGAUUGCUGGGUUCCAUAUAACAGAACACCAACUAACAAUAGGCUUGACACCUCUAAUGUAUUCAUAGACUUUGCCAACAAGCAAUUGUUCAUUGGUGCUCCAAGAUUGAAUCCUCUUUUUGGCCUCUUCCGUACUUAGCUCUUUGGAGAUAAUAAAGUCCCUUAUUUGAAUGAUUUUCUUUAUCAAAACUGAAUCUGAUGAAGAAGUAUUGUAAUUCCACACAUCGCUCCUUCUGAAAUAGUAAUGGUGAACCCACCGAACUCAUAGAGAAUCUUUCUUACAAUGAAAGUCCCACAGGAUACGGGAAAGAAGCGCAAGGUUCUAGUCCUUGAGAUUAAAAAGGCCUAAACCCCCUUCUUUUUUCGGAGAACAAACUACUGACCAAGCAACCAAGGGCUUGUUUUUGCUAAUAUCCGCUUUGCCCCACAGAAAAUUACGACACGAAGCGUUGAUCCGGUCUAGAAUAGAUUGCGGCAAAGGAAAAAUCUCCAUCCAGAAAUUCACAAUUCCUUGAAUAACUACUCUGAUCAACUCUAACUUACCUGCAUAAGAUAAAGACUUCUUGCUCCAUCCCUGAAUCAGGCCAGUAAUCUUGGAAAGCAAGGGAGCAUAAUGACAUACAUUUAAUCUAGAUGAUAAAAGGGGAACACCCAAGUAUCUAAAAGGGAAGUCACCCAAGCUAAAUCCAGUAAGCUGCUGAAUAUGAGAAAGCUCAUGAGGCCUAAUACCGACUGAGUAUAUGACAGAUUUAUCAGAGCUGAUGAAAAGCCCUGAAACCCUACAGAAGUGAUGAAGUUUGGCAAACAUAGUUGACACAAAAGGGAUAUUUCCUUUAGAUAGAAGCAUAAUAUCAUCUGCAAAAGCCAAAUGAGAUAGUUGAAUACUUGCACAGUUGGGAUGAAAUUUAAAAUUGACAUCAUCCUUGAGGCUGCUCAUAUCUCUAGAAAAGUACUCCAAACAGAGCACAAACAGAUAAGGGGAGAGAGGAUCCCCUUGUCUAAGACCCCGCUGCCCUUUGAAGUGACCAUAAAUGGAUCCAUUGACUGCCACACUAAAGAAAGUGGAAGAAACACAUUCCAUGAUCCAAGUACAGAACUGGGCUGGGAAGCCAAUGGACUUAAGCAUCCAAUCCAAGAAUUUCCAGGAAAUGGAAUCAUAAGCUUUAUGCAAGUCAAUUUUUAGGAGGCAUCUCGGAGAGGAUCUUUUCCGGACAUAUUUGCGCAAAAUCUUUUGAACUAGGAAGAUGUUGUCCAUCAUCUUUCUGUUCUUAAUGAAAGCAGUUUGAGUUUUUCCAAUAAUAGUCUCAAGCACUGGGGCUAUGCGGUUGGCCAGAAUUUUAGAUACAAUCUUGUAUAACAAAUUACAGCAAGAUAUGGGUCUAAAAUGGUUAACCUGGGAGGCCUGAUCAUGCUUAGGAAUAAGCGCAAUAAUAGCAUGGUUGAGCUGCUUUAGAAUUUUUCCAGUUGUAAAGAAUUCAUUAACCGCUGCAAAGAUAUCAUCACCAAUGAUAUUCCAAGCCUUCUUGAAGAAUAAAACAUUGAAACCAUCUGGCCCAGGAGCUUUAUUGUUAUCCAUCACAGAAAUAACGUUCCAAACCUCUUGCUUAGAAGUAGGACAAAGUAAGGCCGCAAAACAAUCGGUGGGAACCUUAGGACCCCUGUUGCAAAUCGAAAUGGAAGGAGUUUGGGUCAGCUCAUGAGCACUAAACAAAUUCCUAAAGUGAUUCACAAAAGCAAGGCAAUUUCAUCUUGAUUGGUUGUGAGUGUGUAGUUUACUUGGAGGUAUUGAUGGUUAUUAAAUAUUUCUGGUUCAUAUCAUAAAUACUAACUAAUUAACCAUCACAGGCUGGCGAGGAUAGGAGGUUGUACAAAAUCUACCAGUUUUUUUUUUUGUACUAUACGGUAUUUCUUAUGCCCAUCAUAUGUUUAUAAAGUAUUUUUUUGCUGAAAAAAGGGUAUGCAAUUGAUAAUAUUAAUUUCUUAACCAAUCAAUUUAUAUGUCAUUUUUCUAUUAAUUUUUUCUUCAAAUUAGUAUUAGAUUAUUAUUUUUUAAAAUUUUAAAAUUGUAACUUUUUUAAAUUAGAUAAUAUGAUUAAAGACAACUUUGAAAGUCUGAAUCCUAAAAUUCUUUUAAUUACUUUUAACAUUUUUUUAUUUAUUUUUUAAAUGUAAGACCACAAUAUUCGUAUGAGUAUUCUUCUUCGUCCUUUUCUUUAACCUUAACCUUCUGUUUGGAUGAAGGAUUUAAAAAUUUAUAGGAAAUUCAAAUAUACAAUAUUUUAAUUGUCUUGAUUUAAAUUCCUUUCAUUUUAUAAAUAUUUUGUUUGGAUGAACUAAUUCAAUUUCAAUGAAAUUCAAAAUUUCAUUUUAAAAUAUUUAUUUAAAACUUAAAAUUUCAAUAUUAAAUAAAAAUAAAUAUAAUUCAUUUUUUAAAUAGUUAAUUAUUUAAAAUAAUUUUAAUGCUAGACAAUAUUUAAUAAUAAAAAAGUAAAUGAACUUCGACGCGGAGUUGAUAUUUAAUAAUAAAAAAGUAAAUGACCUUUAGUACCUCCUUCUUAAUCACCUCGUGGCCACGAUGACGAUUCUCCCUCCUCCAACCAUCGUUGUGCUCACACCCACCACAAACCAAGGUCGAUAUCUCCUCAUAGCAAAUCGUUGGAGCCAACACCGUGGUUUCAAAUCUGGUGCUUGUCAACGACUCUGUGGAACUCUUCAUCACCACCGCAAACAUUCAUCAUCUUUGUCGGAGCAACAACACCUCCCCACAUGGCUCCUGGUUCGCUUAAACAUGGGCUAGGGUUCAAGUGGUUCAACAUGAAGGUUCGGGAUGGUGGCAGCGUGAAAAGGUCGCCAACACCAUAGGAACACAAAACGUGUGAGAGAGAACAAAGGACUACCGUGUGAGAGGAGAGAAUUUGAAAUUCUUACCAAUUAGUUGGAAUUUCAAUUCCUACUAUUUUAGUCUAUUAAAAUUCUUUUAAAAAUUGAUGUAAAUUUAAAUUCUUUAAAAUCUUCUAUCCAAACAAUUAAAUUAUGAUAGGAGUAUUUCAAAUUCACUAAAAAAAUGAAUUGAUUUGUUUAAAUACUAUAUUCAAACACACUAUAAAGAUGUUUUUAUUAAUUUAUACAUAAUCGACUGUGCAUUAAUUACAUUAAAGGGGAGGACAAAAUUCACAGUUUUUAUAAUUUCUCAGGACGUAUAAAAAAAUUCUGACAACAAUUUUAAAACCAUUUUAUAAUUAACAUAGUGCAGAAAGAGAACAAAUGAACAACAAUACAGAGACUCGUUGAGCAGUAAUGUUGAUGGGAUCACCACAAAAAAAAAAAUUAAAUAUUAAUAUUUUCACAUAAACAAGGAAUGAUAUUGAUAUUUUUUUUUAUAAAAGAGUUAAAAGUAACUAAAAAUAUUUUAAGGUUCAAACUUUUAAAGUUAUCUUUAAUCAUAUUUUCUUAUUUAAGAAAGUUGCAAUUUAAAAAAUAAUAAUCACGGACUAAUUUGAAAAACAAAAAAAAUAAUUAAUGAGAAAAUUACAUGUAAUUUGAUUGGUAAAAAAAACUAAUAGUAUCAAAAUUCCCAAAAUUAUUAGAGACAUCAUAGAAACUCUAAAAGUAUAUUAAUCUUUGCCUUUUUCUUUUAACAAAAAAGACAUAAGUCAUAAUUAAAAAAAUAACAAAAUCUUCAUACAAAAGAAAGUCACAUAUUUAUAAAGUUCCAAACAACUACAAUAACAAACAAUGUAUUUAUGUUCAAGGAGUCAAAGUGACAUCAUCACAUUGAGACACUCUUAUUUGCUCUCCAUCCAUGAAAUCAUAACUUUCUCCAACAUAACUUCCAUUUUGGUUCAAAUUUUCCAUAGCAUCCUAUAUCAUCUUCAUCCAUCAUCCAAAUGUAAUUCAUCUUUGACAAUAUUAAUGUAAAUAUAAGUUAGCAACUAACAUCUACUGGUGUCAUCAAUUAAAAAAAAAUAAAGUUAUAAACAAAAACUUACCAAUGUCAUCUAAAAUGGAUUGGAUAGCCAUAUUUGCGAGGGUGGAUCAUUAAGUAAUGUAUUAAUCUUAUCAUUAGUUAAGAAUGAUGGUAACUUUUCCAAUAUCUAAUUAGCAUGCUCAUGGUCAUUAACACUUUCAAAAUUCUUAGGAUAAUAAUUUUUCUUUUUCAAUGGAUUCCUAAGUUUAUUAAUUUGGUCAUUAACAAAUAAUCAACAUAAAAAAAAUGAAAGAUGUAUUUAAAAAUGAAAAAAAGUUUAAAAACCUAAUAUCAGGAAAUCAAUAUUCUCAACAAUGUUGCAGGUUCUAUACUAGUUGAACAACCUAAGAAUAUUGAGUUUAGAACAUGCAAGAGUGCGAAAAGCAGUUGGGUUCAUUUUCUAUUUCUAUAAUUUUGAAAUAUACCACUUUUAAGCCUGAAAAGUUUAAAUAUAGCAUUAUCUGAACGUUAUUAGAUAGUGCUUUCAAAUCAAAAGUGAUGUAUAUCAAAAUUAGAGGAACUUAAAAAUGGACCGAAAAAAGGCUUACACCAGCACUCCUUAAUCAAUAAAGCAAACCCAACCCCUUCAGCAACACCGAGUUAAGGCAUGCUUCAGAUGCAGAACCCCUUGAAAAAAUCCGCGCAGAACUAUGGUUAUCUACUGCCCCACCCAUACAUCUAACCCCGAGAUAAUUAAGUUCAUUCUAUAUAUAGAUUCCAAUUUACUAUAUUUAUGAACCAUAUAUAUUCUAUAUACAUUCUUGCUGAACAUACACUACAACAGAUUCCAUCAGGCCAUCCCAAAAUUUAGAUGAAAUGAACCAAUCCUGAAUGCUGCUAAAAUCUAGCCAUAAGCAGAAGGAAUAACAAACUAUAUUUGAAAAUAAACAUAUCCUUUUAUUACCUUUGGCCAACAUCCAUUUCCAUGACAGGAAUUUAAUCCUAUAUGCAAUAUAAAGACAAACUAUUACAUUGUUUAUUUAUUUAAAAGAAAGGUCUCAUUUCUUUGUUUCGAAAGCGACCACACAAAAAUCCAUACUCUUUUCUUCUUCAAACUUGAGCUAUGAAAGAAGAAAUGGAAAAAAAAUGCUAGUAUAAAUUUAGAGGAAGAGGCAUAAUUAAAAAUACCAGGACAGCAAAAUAUGAUGCCAGACCCUAUUGGCAAUCAACUUUUUAUGCAUGUCAAUUUGUAAUUAUUAUAACAACAUGAUGAAUUUUUAGAAAUGGAAAACUAAAUUGAUGUUUUUUUUUAAAAAAAAAAAUUGAGGACCAAUUUUAAGGAUAUAUUAAUAUAGAGACCUUGUCCACGUUUGAUUGAAAGUAUAUAUAGAGAUUAAAAAUAUAUUGUUUCUUUUAAUUUAUUAUAUUUCCUUUCAUAAAAACACAUAAUAAUAUUAAUGUGUUGAGUUUAAUUUUUAUACAGUGUUAAUGUAAUUUUUUUUACACAUUAUCAAUUAACUAAUUAAAAAUCAUUGUAGAUAUGAAUUUGAAGAUUAUUUUUGUAAAAUUUAUCCACCUUAUAUACAUGCGAGUUUAUAAUUAGUUGAUAAAUAUAUAAAGACUCUUUAGAGUGCAAAGAGUACUAUUUUCUGUAUUACAUUAUUAAAAAUAGAACAAACAAUUUAAGAUACAUUUGUCAUGUACAGAUGGAGUUAUUAAUUUAAGAAUGAAGUAAAAGAUGAAAAGGAUUUUAAGUACUAACGAAAAUAACUGGAAUAUGAUGAAACACAAUAAGACACGUGACAGAAGAAUAUAUUUAAUUUAAUUAUUUGUAUCGAAUAAAAUUCAACUUAAUUAGUAUAUUUCAUAAAAUACAAUUGGUAAAAAAAAUUGAUCAAUUAAUUGUUAAAAAGUAAGAAAAUUUAAAUUAUUUGUAACGAAUAAAAGUCAAGUGAAGUGUUUUUAAGAAAAAUUGUUAAAAAGUAACGAAUAAAAUUGGAUUUUUUACAAAAUGUUUUAUUAAAUUCUGUACCCCUCUCCUAACUAUGUUUUGUCUUGUUGGUAGUUAUUGAAGCAACAGAGACACAGGAGGAAGUUAGAGUGCAUCUGGUGAAGCAUGAGUAGUGGCUCAGUGUGAGGUUUAAUGGACUGGAACAUUUUAUGAUGUGCUCCCCGUUGCAUGCUUUUCUGGGGGAUAUCAUACAUAUUUAUUCUCACUAGUACUGCUGCUACCUCCUGGCCCUGCUUAUUCAUAUUUAUAUUUAUUGCUUCCUUGGAUGCCUUAAAUUAAUAUGUUUUUCUCCGUCUAAGUUAGUAUUCCAAAUCUUGGAUGAUGAAACUUCAAUUUGUUAUCUAUGAAAAUAAGAUCCUUUACGUUCACACGUUUAUGCAUUUUAUUUCCGUUCAUCUAUUAAUUUCUCCUUGAAUAUAGUAACUUCACUUACCAGAAGAACCAGAAGUGAGGAAAAUUUACAAUAAUCCUAAUAAAUUAAGCCAUCUAUACAUGGAGCAAUUGUGCUAAGAUUUUUGUUAUAUUUUAUUAUCCUAGCCUGGGAUGAGGGAAAAAUUAGUUUAAACUUUGUUUGCUUAGGAAGUUAAAACUUUUGCUUAUCGUGUAGUCUACACUCGAUUCAUGGGUUUCUCAGUUCUUGUGUAAAACUUGGUCCCUAUCAGAAAGGGAGGCCUCAAUAAUUUUAUAUAACUUUUCUUCAAUUUUUCAUAUUCAUUUUAAAAAUUAAUGUUAUCAAAAGAUGGCUAAUAUGAGCCCUUAUUUGACACAAAUUGUAUGAGUUUCAACUUUAUUUCAAGUGUUUAUUUUUAUUAGGAUACUAGGCAAUUAUUAUUUUUUAUUGGACAUUUGGGAAUUUUUUUUUUUUUACAGACAUCGUAUAUGCUGCAGAGAGUAUUCAAGCUUCAAGCUUGACACUGAAAUAUGAAGAGUGCUGUGAACAUAAAAAUAGUUUAUCAAAAUAGUUUUCUUUUAUUGAAAGUGUAAUUUUAAGAUUUAUGUAUAUAAAAAAGUGAAAGAUAAGUGAGAAAUAAAUAUAAUUUAGAUAACUGUCACCUGUCACAUGUAGUGACCAUUUCUCCGUUUUAAGUAUAAUUGAGCUACUGAAAUAUUCAUAUUAGCAAAAUGGCAGGUUUAGCAUAGAGAAAAGGAUGAGUAAGUGUUCCAAAUUGACAACAAAAAAAUAUUACAAUCAUAUUUUUUGGCUAGAUUUUCACUUACGAUGAAUGGUGUUCAAAAAAAACUUCUUAAAAUUGUAUGACUAGUUAGACUUCUAGGCAAAACAUAAGCAAAUGUCAAUGUAUUUGCAUUUUUAUAGUAGGAUAAGAGUAAAGGUUAAUGAGGUUUUCAUCUAUAUACAUUAUUGAGGAUAUAGAUGUAGGGCAUUAAACAAGUUCUAUUAUCAUUUGAAUGAGCAUCUAUUAAUUCUUGACUAUUCUUUCUUUUGGGAACAUAAAUUAAGGCUCUCUUCAAUUAAGUUUCACUUACGAGACUGUCUAAUUAUACUCACUGUCCCCCACCUCUAAUCUACCAUGCUUGAAAUUUCUAGCCAAUUAACUUCAUUAUUACCACACUGGUCUGCACGAAUAAUUGUUGAAAUUAAAUAUCUUCAUACUGAUAAAAAAAACUGCAACAUCUGCGACCAUAUUUAUGAAGUCUACGCAGAUGUAAGAUUGAACUGGUAGCUAGAUUGGAAAAUGGACUUAAGAUAAAGGAAGAAGAGGGGAAAAAGAAGUUAUGUGUUCAAAUUUCUUUCACGUAUUUCUAAUCAACCUAAUAAAUUAAUUUUUGUUGAUUUAAAAAAAACACAUACAAAUACAGGACUAUAUUUACUGGAUCCCACCUUCAAAGUUGCCAUUAUUGAUAUUUAUUGGAUCACAUUUGCAACGUUGCCUUUAUUGAUUUGUACAUAAAAAAUUAAUUUUGCUUGCGAAAUUGUCAAUAUGGUAUUGCUAAAUUAGGAAACAGAAGUUAGGUAUACAAUCAUUCGGAACCCUUUGGGUACCACUACCCACUUGAUUCACGAGUUCUUCGACAAAUCCAUAUAGUAACAUCACUCCUUUUAAUUAUAUUAAAAUUAAACUAAUGUCUCACAUCUAUUUAUUAUAUUUUUAUAUUAAAGCACGGCUAAACCCAAGUCUUGCAUUCUUGGCAUUUUCAUCAAGUUUGAUCUGUGUUGGUCAUUAUAAAUCCCCAUUUCAAACUUGACCAACAUAAUGCAAUGUAUCUUAUGCACUAUAUACAGCUGUAGCAAACUGACAAAAUACAGCAAUAAUUUUAACACCAAAAUACAAAUAAACGAUAUCAUCAUCAAUUUUUUUAAUUAUUUGAAACUGGUGCACAUUUUCUUCAAGAUCCAUCAAUUAUUCCACAUUCCCAAAAACUAUAUCUUCAUCAAGAAAUAUGAAAAAUAAUAUCUCUGUAUUAACACAUCCUACAAAGAAGUUGAAAAUAAAAAUAAACAAAAUAAGAUACCUCAAAAUAAUUAUAUACUUAAAAAGGAUUCAGAAUUUCAGAUUCCACUCAAACGUGCUACAAAAAUGAAUUUUCAAAUUUUUUUUUCCCCUCAUAUAAUUCUACUCAAAUUUUAUCUUAUCUUCUUAUUUCUCUUCAGACAGAGAUCACCUGUCUCACAUCAUAUUUAUUAUUCGAUAUCAAACAAUUUUUAAAUUUUGUUUUUAUCAUGGUCUUUCUUUAUACUCAAAAUAUAUAUCUUAUCUCAAUUAUUUCAAUCAAUUUUAUAAUUUUUUACCUUACAAGAUAGGUAACUAAUCAUUAACCACAUUCACAUUUUUUUUACUCAUAACAUAGAUGUGAUAGGUAACGGACUGAUUAGUUACCUAUCAGUUAUAAGAUAGAUAAUUUUCUCCCUUAUAACUAAUCUUGUCCAAAUUUUUCAACACAGAAAGGACCUAUUCUCUUUAUAGACUUAUCCUUUUUUCCACCACCGAAGGAGACCUAUCCUUUUUGCCUCAUGGUCUUUCUUUAUACUCAAAAUAUCUAUCUUAUCUCAAUUGUCUCACUCAAUUUUAUAAUUUUUUACCUUACAAGAUAGAUAACUAAUCAUUAACCACAUUCACAUUUUUCUUACACAUAACAUAGAUGUGAUAGGUAACGGACUGAUUAGUUACCUAUCAGUUAUAAGAUAGAUAAUUUUUUCCCUUAUAAUUAAUGUUGUCCAAGUUUUUCAACACAGAAAGGACCUAUUCUCUUUACAGACCUAUCCUCUUUCCACCACCAAAGGAGACCUAUCCUCUUUGCUUCAUGAUCUUUCUUUAUACUCAAAAUAUCUAUCUUAUCUCAAUUGUCUCACUCAAUUUUAUAAUUUUUUACCUUACAAGAUAGGUAACUGAUCAUUAAACACAUUCACGUUUUUCUUACUCAUAACGUGGAUGUGAUAGGUAGCAGACUGAUCAGUUACCUAUCAGUUAUAAGAUAUAUAAUUUUAUCCCUUAUAACUAAUCUCGUCCAAGUUUUUCAACACAGAAAGGACCUAUCCUCUUUAUAGAUCUAUCCUCUUUUCACCAUCAAAGGAGACCUAUCCUCUUUGCCUCAUGAUCUUUCUUUAUACUCAAAAUAUCUAUCUUAUCUCGUCACCAUAAUCUUUGUUCUCUUGCUUUUCCUACUCAUAAAAAUACUAUCGUAAGGAAAGGACCAAUAAGCGGAGCAACCGGACUUAACUUUAAUAGUAUUAUUUUUUUUUCAUUUUGUGAUUCAAACUUCACUAUAAAAGUGCAGUGCUAUGGAUCAUUUUGAGUUAUACUACUUUCUUGGUACCAAAAAAUUUACACACUAUUGUUAUUUGUGCAAAAUAUUUAAAUAAUUUUGCAUUGUACUUUAUAAUGAUUUAUAUGUUAAUAUUGAUAAUAUACAGUAGAUAUAGAUAUAAUUUAUUUAUUAUAAUAUUUAUGAUAUAUAGUCUGUAAAAUUAUUAAUUUUAUAAAUCUUUGUUACUAUUUUAACCAUAUAAUAAUUAUUUGGUUGUUGCACAACAAUUUCAUGUUGAAUCAUUAUCAUCUGGGGUCAAAGUUACGUGGCGAUGCAUGUUAUCCACUAAAUAAAUGUGUUUAGCAUAAAAUUGUUUUGGCACAAAAAAAUUGAUAAUUUUUCUCCCCUCAUGUUUUUCUUGCUACUUAAAUUUAAUAGUAUUAUUUUUUUUUCAUUUUGUGAUUCAAACUUUACUAUAAAAGGGCAGUGCUAUGGAUUAUUUUGAGCAGAGGCAGAAGAUAAUUAGCCAUGGCUUCUAUAUCAUCACAUCCAUCCUUCUCGUCCCUCCUCAGUUUCUCUGCAUCCUUUUCCAUUCCUUCCAUGUUUCCAACGUCUCAAAAACCAUGCCAACCUAGCAAACCAAAACGUGGUCGUCAUGCUUCAAAAGUUGCAUGCAAUGGUAACCCUAACCCUAGAAAUAGGAGGGACAUUUUGAUUGGCCUUGGAGGACUUUAUGGUGCUACUACUCUUAGUGGUAACAGCACCGGUUCAGCCUUUGGUGCUCCGGUGUCUCCUCCAGACCCAACUAACUGUGUUCCGCCACUAUUGCCGGGCGAAAAUGAUGUCAAUUGUUGCCCUCCAUCCCCAAUCGUAGACUUCGAGUUCCCUUCACACAAAAGACUUCGACAUAGACGACCUGCACAAUGGGUCGAUGAUGAUUACCUAAACAAGUACAAGGAAGCCGUUAGGCUCAUGAGAGCCCUUCCACUUGAUGAUCCUCGAAAUUUCAUGCAACAGGCAAAAAUUCAUUGUGCUUACUGUCAUAAUGGCUAUCGCCAAAAAGGUUUCCCUGAUCAUAAUCUCCAAGUCCACGGCAAUUGGCUAUUCGCCCCCUUCCAUCGUUGGUACCUCUACUUCCAUGAGAGAAUCUUGGGGAGCUUGAUCGGUGACCCAACUUUUGCUCUUCCAUUUUGGAACUGGGACAAUCCCCCAGGCAUGGCAAUGCCAGCCAUUUACACUGAUGAAAAUUCCCCUCUCUAUGACCCUUUCAGGAAUGCCCUCCAUCAACCACCAGUUAUUGUAGACCUAGCCAACGAGGCCAAUAUUCUUGACCCAAGUAAGCAAAUCGUGAACAACGAAAUUACAAUGUUCAGGCAUGUUGUUAUUGAGGGGAUAAGCCCUAGCCUCUUCCUCGGAAAACCCUACUAUGCUGGAUGUGAGCCAAAUAACCCUGGUGCUGGCUCUCUAGAAAAAGGUCCGCACAAUAAUGUCCACAGAUGGACUGGUGAUCCCACACAACCUCAUAGGAUCGACAUGGGGUAUUUGGCUUGGGCUGCAAGAGACCCCAUUUUCUUUGCUCACCAUUCAAACGUGGAUAGGAUAUGGAACAUAUGGAAAACAAUACCGGGAGGGUUUAGAAGAGAUUUCAACGAUGAUGAUUGGUUAGAGUCCAGCUUUCUCUUCUACGAUGAGAACAAGAACCUUGUGCGUGUGAAGAUCAAAGAUUGUCUUGACUCCAGAAAGUUGGGGUAUGAUUACGAAUAUGUUGAUGACACGCCAUGGCUGAAUGUUCGUCCUAGACCCAAAUAUGCGGUUCCUCUCCCCCUCCCGUUUCCACUUCCACAACCUUUGCCGUUCCCUCUCACUUUGAAUUCCAUUCAACGUACAACUGUGAAGAGGCCAAAGAAGGAGGAGUCAUGGAGCGAGGUAGAAAAGGCGGAGGUGUUAGUGAUGGAAGUUGAGUAUGAUAUGACUGAGGAUGUGAAAUUUGAUGUGUUUAUCAACGACCAAGGUGACGAUGAGAUAGGACCCGAGGAUUCGGAGUUUGCGGGAAGCUUUAUGACCUUGGCUCAUUCGCAUGGGCACCAAAGCAAGAGGACAACAACUUCUCUUAGAUUGGCAAUAACGGAUCUGUUGAAAGAUUUGCAUGCACUGGACGAUGAAAGUAUUGCGGUCACACUGGCUCCAAGAUAUGGGAACAAGCCUGUCACAAUUAAGGGCAUAAAGAUAAAGCUUGUCCCUCUGGUGGAGUAUGUUAAUGUAUAACAAUAUUCAGCAGCUUAAUUAUGUGUGGUGUGAGACCUUUUUUUUUCUUUUCCUUUUCUUUUGAAGCUUCGGUUUGUUGUUUUGUGAGGGAAUGCGGUUUGUGAUCCUGCCAUCUGCUAUGUGACAGAUUUUAUCACAUGUAAAUUGGCUAGGCAACAAUUCCAUAUGUCAUGUUUCUUAUUGCAACUAAAUCCAUGUCAAAUACUAUUGCAGAUGCUUUUCUUUUCUACCUUAGAGUCCCGCGUAGCUAGAAAUACAUGAGGGGAGAAAAAUUAUCAAUUUUUUUGUGCCAAAACAAUUUCAUGCUAAACACAUUUAUUUAGUGGAUAACAUGCCUCGCCACGUAACUUUGACCCCCAGAUGAUAAUGAUUCAACAUGAAAUUGUUGUGCAACAAUCAAAUAAUUAUUAUAUGGUUAAAAUAGUAAUAAAGAUUUAUAAAAUUAAUAAUUUUGCAGACUAUAUAUCAUAAAUAUUAUAAUAAAUAAAUUAUAUCUAUGUCUACUGUAUAUUAUCAAUAUUAACAUAUAAAUCAUUAUAAAAUAUAAUACAAAAUUAUUUAAAUAUUUUGCACAAAUAACAAUAGUGUGUAAAUUUUUUGGCACCAAGAAAGUAGUAUAACUCUAGCGGAAUAGGGGAUGCUUCUAAAUACAGUGAUCCACCUAACUUUUGGAUCUUCGAUGGAGCAUGCUUUUUAUUUUUACGUUGUGGUCGGUUUUUCCGACUGGGUAGUCUACUAUAAUUCUGUCACAAUUGUUAUGAAAACAAAUAAAAGAAAAGAAAUCACGUCUCCCAUCGGUGUAUAAUUCCAAAAUAACUAGUGACAUGGAUUUUUUUUUCAUCCAUUUUAUUUUGUCUCACAACUCGAAACUUUUAAGGGUUAUGUUGCACAAUUUAAAAGUAACAAGGUUUAUAUAUUAGUUACUGAUUAUUAAAGUAUACCAACGCGCGCAGUGUGAUAUAAUAUAUAGAAGAAUAAUCCUUAAAUUUAGGUCCACAUAUGAAAAAACAUGUAUCGAAAAAUGUUAGACGAUCCUUACAUAUUAACGGUUUCAAGAAAUUAUUUUUAUUAUAAUAAGCAUUUUCUUACGUCUAGAAAUAUCAUCACUAGUUUAUUAGCGACUCGAAUAUUAGUAUGGAUAAGGAACCAAUAAAAAUAUUGUCACUAAUUAUCUUUAGUGAUGAAUUUUUAAUUUUUAGUAACGAAUGUCAUCAUCACACACACAAAAAAAAACACUAUUUCUUGCAGUUGUAGAAUAGUAUGCUGAAUUGGAAUUUUUUGCACAAGACUUUCACAUAUGAGAGGGCACGACAAAAAACCGCAUCCCCUGGCAGCAAACAACCCAAAAAGGAGGCUCAAAAGAAAGAGAAAUCAUCCUGUUUUAGAAGUUAGUAUUUUUUUAUUUUAUUUAUAUAAAUUUAUUUUUUUUAAUUUUAUUUUAUGUAAAUUUAUUUUAUUUUUUAAUUUUGAUUCAUGUAUGAUAUUUUUUUAAUUUUUUAAUUUUUGUAAAUUUAGGAUUUUCUAAUUUUGAUCUCAAUAAGAUUUCAAUUUUCUCAUUUAUAGUGUUAAUAAAUUUGAGUUUAUAAGGAUCAAAAUUAAAAAAGUAUAAAUUUAAAAAGAUUAAAAAAGUAAAAUAUCUUAUAAAAAUUAAAAUUAAAAGUGUAAAUUUACAAGAAUAAAAUUUAAAAAAAAAUACUAACUUAGACGGAGAAAAACAUAUUAAUUUAAGGCAUCCAAGGAAGCAAUAAAUAUAAAUAUGAAUAAGAAGGGCCAGGAGGUAGCAGCAGUACUAGUGAGAAUAAAUAUGUAUGAUAUCCCCCAGAAAAGCAUGCAACGGGGAGCACAUCAUAAAAUGUUCCAGUCCAUUAAACCUCACACUGAGCCACUACUCAUGCUUCACCAGAUGCACUCUAACUUCCUCCUGUGUCUCUGUUGCUUCAAUAACUACCAACAAGACAAAACAUAGUUAGGAGAGGGGUACAGAAUUUAAUAAAACAUUUUGUAAACAAUCCAAUUUUAUUCGUUACUUUUUAACAAUUUUUCUUAAAAACACUUCACUUGACUUUUAUUCGUUACAAAUAAUUUAAAUUUUCUUACUUUUUAACAAUUAAUUGAUCAAUUUUUUUUACCAAUUGUAUUAAGUUGAAUUUUAUUCUUUACAAAUAAUUAAAUUAAAUAUAUAUUUCUGUGUCACGUAUCUUGUUAUGUUCUAUCAUAUCCCAGCCUUUUAGUUUCUUCUUAAACUAAUAACUCCAACUGUACAUGAUUAAUGAAUCUUAAAUUAUUUGUUUUAUUUUUAAUAAUGUAAUACAGAAAAUAGUACUCUUUGCACUCUAAGGAGUCUUUAUAUAUUUGUUAACUAAUUACAAAUUCACAUGUAUAUAAGGUGGUUAAAUUUUAAAGAAAAUCAUCUUCAAAUUCAUACCUACAAUGAUUUUGUAGUGAUGAUUAGUUAAUUGUGAUUAUUAAGUUCUGUAAAAAAAUUGAGACUAUUAUUGUUUACAAUUAAAAAAAUAGUGUUAUUCGUAUCCAUUAGAGUUGUGCCAAACAUAUUGUACUUUUUGGAUAAAAAACAAAUUAUUGUAGUCUUUUGGAACUUUAUAAAUAUGUGACUUUCUUUUGUAUGAAGAUCUUGUUAUUUCUUUAAUUAUGACUUACGUCUCUCUCUUUUUUUUUUUAAAAAAAAAGCAAAGAUUAAUAUACUUAUAGAGUUUCUAAGAUGUCUCCAAUAAUUUUGGAAAUUUUGAUACUAUUAGUUUUUUACCAAUUAAAUUACAUGUCAUAUUCUCAUUAAUUAUUUUUUUUGUUUUUUUAAAUUAGUCCUUGAUUAUUAUUUUUUAAAAUUGCAACUUUCUUAAAUAAGAAAAUAUGAUUCAAGAUAACUUUAAAAGUUUAAACCCUAAAAUCUUUUUAAUUACUUUUAACACUUUUUAUAAAAAAAAUAUCAAUAUUGUUUAUUUGAAAAUAUCAAUAUUUAAUGUUUUUUUUGUGGUAAUCCCAUCAGCAUUACUGUUUAACGAGUCUCUGUAUUGUUGUUCAUUCGUUCUCUUUCUAUACUAUGUUAAUUUUAUACUAUGUUAAUUAUAAAAUGGUUUCAAAAUCAUUGUUACAAUUUUUUUAUACACUGUGAGAAACUAGAAAAACUGUGAAUUUUGUCCUUCCCUUUAGUGAAAUUAAUGCAUAGUCAAUUAUGUGUAAAUUAAUAAAAACAUCAUUAAGGUUAAAGAAAAGGAUAAAGAAGAAUACUCAUAUGAAUAUUCUGGUCUUAUAUUUUUUUAAAAAAAAUUAUAAAAAGUGUUGAAAGUAACUAAAAGGAUUUUAGGAUUCAGAUAUCUAAAGUUAUCUUUAAUCAUAUUAUCUAAUUUUAAAAAGUUACAAUGUUAAAAUUUUAAAAAAUAAUAAUCAGGGAUUAAUUUGAAAAAAAAAAUCCAUAGAAAGAUGACAUAUAAAUUUAUUGGUAAAAAAUUAACAGUAUCAAAAUCCCUAAAAUUAUUGAAGCACCUUAGAAAGAAUUUAUCAACUGCAUACCCUUUUUUUUUCAGCAAAACAAAAUACUUUAUAAGUAUAUGAUGGACAUAAGAAUACCGUAUGGUACAAAAAAAAAAAAAACUGGUAGAUUUUGAACAACCUCCCUGUCUCCGCCAGCCUGUGGUGGUUAAUUAGUUAGUAUUUAUGAUAUGAACCAGAAAUAUUUAAUAACCAUCAAUACCUCCAAGUAAACUACACACUCAACCAAUCAAGAAAGCAAACUCCCCUUUUCUUAUUUAAACCUGAGCUAUAAAAAAAGAAUUGGAAAAAAUACGGGUAUAAAUACUGAGGCAUUGGCAUAACAUACCAAUCUAACUAAAAGUAUGAUACCACGACCUAGCUAGAGGCAACAAUGCAGUGAACAUACAAGUGUAUGUAUAGUUGUAGAAUCAUCAAUAGAAGUGAACAUAUUCACUAACAUGGGUGGCAAAGCAUUUCUUCGAACCAAAUUAUCUUUCUUCGUAGGUUGGUUAACUAAUAGUUAAACUAUUCUUUUCAAUUAAUAUAUAUUAAUUAAAAGGAGAUUAGGAGUUAUAUUGUAUUAUAAACAAAUGUAACAAUAAAACAAACAAUUUAACAAACAUUUAUUAUAACAAUAACAUAGUAUCCCUCAACAAAGAUGGAAGGGAUCUAUUAAGUUCCAAGAAAAAUAACUACAGCAUACUAAUUAAGAAACAACAAAUGACAGAUAGAGUAUCCCUGGAGGAACAAACCCUAGUAGUAGCACACACAUAAUUUAGAUUUAUUCAUCGUCCACCUCAGGAUAAACACGCUUAAUCUAUCCUUACGUCCUUAAUUGUAACAGGCUUGUUCCCAUAUAUGGGAGCCAGUGUGACAGAAAUACUAUCAUCGUCUUUUGUUACUCCAAGUCUGAAAGAAGCUUUGGUGAUGUUGUUGUGGUUGACAUGCGGCGAGUGAGGCAAAGUCACAAAGCUUCCCGCAAACUCUGAAUCUUGGGGUCCAAUCUCAUUGUCGCCUUGGUCGUUGAUGAACACAUCAAACCUCACACCAUCAGUACUAUCAUACUCAACAUCUAUCACUAACACCUCUUCUACGCCUUCUUCUUCUUCUUCAUUCUCGUUCCUAGAGCGCGGCUUCGGCCUCUUCACGAUUGUAGGAAAAAGUUAAUGUAUAAAAAUUAUUAUUAAUACUUAAGCAAAUUGUUUAAAAUAAUAAUAAUAAUAAUAAUAAAUAUUACUUUCAAUUUAUAUGUUGUUUUGUGCUCGUACACUUAAAAUUCUUAAUCAUUAAGAAACAAAUAACUUUAAAGAAUAACUAAAAAUAUUAUAAAUAAUCUUAUUAAAAUCUUAAAAUAUAAAUAAUAUAUGUAUAAAGAAAUUGCAAAAAAAAAAAAAUUGGUUAGAGGACCAUGCCCCCUAUGUCCCAAUGAAGAUCCGUCAAUUGUUAGGGAUUUUAUAAUUCCUAAUUAAUUAAUAUGGAUUACAUAUUAUAUUAUAACAUUUAUAUUAGUUAUUUACAUUUAAAUGAGUUCAAUAUAAAGUGAUCUAUUUAAGUGAGCCCAUUAGACUGUCAAUAGAUAAUUGAUAUGAGAAUAGGUUUAAAACAUAAGGCAUGGUUAUGAUCCCCAAUACACCAAAUCAAUAAACAGUUUCUCCUCUCCCCAUCUGAAGAGAAAACGAAGGUUUCAUAAGGAAGAAUGUGAUUUGGUUGAAGAAGGUCAUUAAACCAGUUGUUCGUGACCACUGUCAGAUUUCGCUGCGUGAUAAUCAAGCUCCAUGGAUCCAAGUAUUCCUUAAAACCUCUUGAUAAUCUGACGUAAUAUGUUAUGAUGUUCAUUUUGUAUUUUAUAAGGUUUAUUGAAAAUUCACAACAUCAAUGACUACCAGAAUUAAGAAUGAUUAUUAUCUGCCAUCAUGACUGUAAUCUCUGCAGUCACCUCUAUCAACGAUAAAUAAUAUUUAUAUUGGUAUCCGAUCAAAAUAUGUAUUUUUUGUCAAAAUCAGAAUGAAUACUUGCAUGUAUGCAGAUUCUUAUCAUCCCUACUCAUGACAUUUGUAUUAGUAGGUAUUUUAAUUGUGAAUGAGACUUGACGAAUUUAAGUUAUCUAUCUCCACCUAAAGGUUCUAAAGUAAUGUGAGUUUCCAAGGACUAAACAAGGGUCUGAAUUGUCUCAUUAUUAGUUUUGGCACAAUGUCAUUUUUCUUGCCUAACACUACACAUACGGGUUUGGCAUGCUAUUUAAAUAUUGAUCUAGAUUUGUGGGCUUUACUUCACGUUUUAAUGGAGAUCUAGAUUGGAAUUUUCAAACUCCAAACAAAACUUAAGCUAUAUAUAUAUAUAUAUAUAUAUUUUGAUGGAGGGGAGAUCCAAUUAAAAACGGUUAGUCAAAUUUUUUUACAAAAUUAAUUAAUACUUGGUACUAAUAACAUAUGGUAACAAAAAUAAUCUAAAAAACUCAAGAUACAUGGAGAAAUCAUGGAAUUAAUCUUUAAACACGAGAUUCAUUACUUAGAGAUUGAUUUAGACUAGAUUUUUUUAGUUAAAUUAGUUGCUACAUCAAUUAAGAGUAACGUCACAAAAACAGUCAACAUAAAAUUGGUCACUAGUCAAUCAUUAUGAAAGUGGUUUUUAGUUUGGUCACUACCCAUCAGUCACUAAAUAACUUUUAUAACAUGAGUCAUCAAAUUAGUCUCUAUAAUUUGAGUAACUACAUUAAUUGUAAUAAAACUAGUCAUUUAAUUGGUUUUUAAAUCAGUGUCUAAAUUGGAAUCUACACUCAGCGACCAAAAAUUUAGCUGCUCGCUAAAAUUGGUAUCUUAUUUGGUCACUAACUGAUUAACGACCAACUUUGUAAAAUUAGAGACCAAUAUUCUGUCACUAAGAACCAUUUUUCUUGAAGUAGGGAAUAUUGGAGAUACUUCUGAUUUCCAUUGAGCAACAUAUUAACAAUCAACACACAUAAUAAUAUAAAAUUAGCAUUUAUUUUAAUGAUAUUAAAAUAUUUUAAUCAAACAUUAGUGACAAAAUUGUAAUUUUCAAAUAAAUUACUUCAACUUUAGAUAGUCAUGGAUGGAGUUGAACUUUAAAAAUUAUUGACUACGUAUAUAUAAUCUCAUAAAUGUAUAAUAGAAAAAUAUGUAUAUACAGUAAACAAAAAAGAAACAUAUGUAUAUAAAUAACACAAGUAUUUAUAAAUAAAAUAAAAUGGGCAUAUGUAAGUACGUAACUAACUGUAUUUAUAAUCAACUAACAACAAAUAUAUAACUAACAGCAGAAUAAAUAAAUGGUAAAAAAAGUUACUGUAGUGUAGUAGAGAUUUAUAUGUGGAAAAAUAAAAGAAGUGUUUUUUUUAGAAUUAAAUAAAGAAGUUAAAAACCAAGCAUAUAACUAAAUAAAAAUUAAAUACAGUAAUUCAAAUAGUAAAAAAUAAAAUACAAACAGAAUACAGAGUUUUUAUACGGUUAGAGAUAUAAUGGAAUUAAAACAAGAUAACUUAUUGAAGAUAAAUAGUAACAAGAAGCAAAGAGAUGGUGAUGGGUUAGUAAUGAUUAAAAGUUACGUAGGUACAGGGAUUAGAAUUGAUUAUUUUUUUUUGGAUUAGAAUUUAUUUAACUUUUCGUUAAGAAUUGAAGAGCAAAAUAGUAACGUUUUUAAAUUAAUAGAAUGACAAUAAUAAUUAAGGGGAAAAUAAAAUAAACAAUAUGAUGCUAGGAACACAUUACUUAACACCCAUGGUUAUACUUUUAUGUUGAGAGUUAUGAUAUAUGUCUUCUCUCCUUACUCUGGAAAAUCUGAUUUUAGUAAAAGAAGAAGGAAAGAAGUGAGUUUUAGGUUUGUGGACCACUAGGUUUUGGUAGCCAGGGUACGAAUUUAUGAUGAGUGGUGACUAACCUAAUACCCUUCAUGCAAAACAUGGUUGUGACACCUUGCAAGCCUAGGGACGUGCUUAGGUUAUCAUUUGUCCUAGUUGAAUUUUAAUUGAUCUUUGAUUUAGUUCAGUUCAAUUCCAACUAGUUUAAUUAUCUUAGCUUUAGUUAGUUUUUGUUGAGUUUAGUUUGUUUGGAAAAGAAAAAAAAAUGGUUUUUUACUAGAUACAUGUGCUAAAAAUAAAAAAAAAAAAAUUUAAAAUUUCAAUAAAUAUAGUUGGACACCCCAAAUCCUAUGCAACACACCUAGUGAGAGAGAGAAAAAUAUUGAGAUAAUAUAUGAUAUGAUAAAAAGAAAAAGAUAAAAAAAAAUAAAAGAUAUUGACAAUGUGUUUAAAAUAAAGGAUAUGCAAAUAUCAUUGUUAAAAAAAAAAUAUUCAACGUAUUCAUAGUAAAAGGUAGAGUUCCUAGUACUUAUUAAAAGAAUGAGGACACAAUAACCUCUUUUCUUCAAUUUGGCUCAAGUAUAAUUUUGGACUCUCAAAUUUAGAUCAGUUUUGUUCUUGUCCUCCAAAUUUAGAUUUGUUCUUUUUUUUUUCUCUUAGAAUUAGAAGAAUGCUAAUAUUAAACUCUUUCUUGGUUCUUAGGAAUACUAUUGAUUCUAGUUUUAAAUUUUCUAAUUCAAAGUAACAAAUUUUCCUCACUUAUCAAUCUCUAGCGAUUGCGGCAUUGUUUUAUUGAGUUCUUGUCUCAAUCCAUUUUUAUUUUGUCUUCAAAUUUUUCCUUGAAUUUUCUACUUUUUGGGAUGUAUGCUGAAUUUUGAUCCAUAAAAAAGAAUUUUUCAUUGGUUAUAUAUAUAGAGAGAGAAAACUAUUUUUGUGAGAAUAUGUGCAUAUAUAAAAACACGAGAGCAACAAAUUAUAAUCCUCGGAUUAAAUUUAAUGGUCUAGAUUAGAACCCAAAUUAAAAAACGGCACGGCCCCAUUCUCCUUUAAGUUUGCCUAUUAUCUCCUCCUUCCAGUUCACGUUCUCUUGCUUUCAUUGUGUGUUAAUGCUUAAUACUGCAACUAGUUGGCUUAGAGGGGAUGCUCUCUUCCCUGCACUAUGCGCCAAUUCUUCUACCACAAAAGCGAUUGCUGGAAUCAAAUUUUACACCCUUUCUCUACUCAUCAUGUCACACACCCUUUCUGUUCGUAACGUCGCACGCAAGAGAAGGGGAAAAGACACUUGAACCUAAUUCCUAUAUUCUCUUUCUAACGUCGCACCAUUCCUGUUUUCUUCGUCAAUUGUUUUUCAUCUCUCAAAGUGCGAUCUUUUUUCUUUGCAUAUUAACGUGAUGGAUAUUGCACCAAUUUGACUCCAAUAAUCGAUUUCAGAAUUGGCGAGGGUAGGGGAGUGAGCGUCCUGUUUCACGAAAGAUAGCAUCCUAUUUCAGCAGACAACGUUAACAAACUAUAUUGCUGGCAACAUGAGAAACGAGGCACGUGCUUUUUUGUAUUUGGAUUAAUCUUGACCAUAAAAUUUAAUCUGAGGGUUAUAAUUUGAUGUUCUCAUAUAAGCAACUUGCACUAUAUACAUACAUACAUAUAUAUAUAUAUAUAUAUAUAUAUAUAUAUAUAUAUAUAUAUAUAUAUAUAUAUAUAUAUAUAUAUAUAUUUCAAGUGGAUAUUUUAAUUAUUUACAAGAAAUUCGUUAUACACGAAACGGGAGAGAAUAAAAUUGAAAAAAAUAAAUAUUAUACAUUGGAUCAAACAUUUGUUAAGCUCUAUAACAACAACAAACGAAAUAUAUUCAAUAAAAUUUUCUUUGCCAGUAAAAGUGCCAUAAUUAAGUCGUAUAUGACAGUGACAUAUUUCCACUCCUCCUUUUCAAACUCUAUCUUUAUGCCUUGAAUUGUGAUGGUGACAUUCUCACAUCGUGGUACCAACGUGACCAAAAUACUAUCAUCAUUUUCAGCAUCCAAGUCUGUUACUCCUAUUGUCAAGCUAGUUUUGAUCUUCUUGUCCAUGUUCAUGUUCGAAUGGGAAUGACCCAAAGUAGCAAAGAUUCCUGCAAACUCCGUCCUCUUUGGUCCAAUCUCCUCCACAUCUUCAUCAGUAAUAUACACAUCAAACUUCACAUCAGUAUCCCCAUCAAACUCAAUCCCAUCAAUCACCAACACUGCUUCCUCUUCCUCUUUCUCCCUCUUGCUCCUCAACUUCUUUGGCCUUUUAACAAGUAGGGUUACCUUUGAGUCCAACAAAGUGAUAGGAAACUUGGCACUUGGCUUAGGCUAAGCCGCCAUUGCUGCACCAAUCCCAGACUGUUGUACGAACGCCACCUUCUUAGCUUUUCUAGUUAUUUUGGGUUUAGUCUUUUUCUUGAGCCAUAGAAUGUCAACAUCUUGGUAGAUGUACCGCAUCUUUUUCGAGUCGAGGGAGUCUUUCACCUUCACCCGCACAAGGUUCUUGUUCUCAUCGUAGAAGAAAAAGGUGGUUUCCAACCAAUCGCGGUUUUUUAUGUCCCUUCUUUUUCCACAUGGUAUUGUUUUCCAUAUGUUCCAUAUCCAAUCCACAUUGGCAUGGUGAGAAUAGAAAACAGGGUCUCUUCCAGCAGAAUAUAAAAUCUCCCCAUGUCCUCUUUGUUAGGUUGUUUUGGAUCAAUAGUGAAAGAAAAAGAGGGUUCAAAACACGCAAGCACAGCGACAGACUAAAAAAAAUUAUUUUACAUUUAAAUUAUAUAUUGAAGUAGACCACAUUUCUUUAAUAAUGUAAAGAUUCUAUGUGUAUUUACAUUAAGACAUCAAUUAUUUGAUGAAUGAAACUUUAAAUAGUAAAAAACAUUUAUACUGUUUAAAAUUGGCUUAAACUUUAUUAGUGUAUUUCUGGUGCAUUUUGCUUUCAGCUAAAUGCUUUUAUUUUCAAAAAAGAGAGAUCAACAACUUUGGCCUUUUAACAAGUGUGGAUACCUUUGAAUUCAAAGUGAGAGGAAACUUGACGCUUGGCCUAGCUUCAGCGGCCUGUGCUGCACCAACACCAAAAUGUUGUGCAUGCCACCUUCUUAGCUUUUCUAGAUUUUUUGGGUUUUGGCUUUUUGUUGAGCCAUGGAAUGUCAACAUCCUGGUAAACGUACCCUAGUUUUUUGGUGUCGAGGCUAUCUUUUAUCGUCACACGCACACGGUUCUUGUUCUCAUCGUAGAAGUAAAACGCGGUUUCUAACCAAUCAGGGUCAGUGAAUCCCUUCUUUUCCCACCUUUGAUUGUUUUCGAAAUGUUCAACAUCCUAUCCACAUUGGCAUGGUGAGAAUAGAAAAUGGGGUCUCUUCCAGCAGAAUAGAAUCUUCCCAUGUCCUCACCGUUAGGUUGAUUUCUAUCGCCAGUCCAAAUGUGCCCAGGAGUGUGAGGAACACUCUCUACAGAACCAGCACUAUUAUUAGGCUCCUCUCCAGGAUGGAAAGGUUUUCCGAGGAAGACUGAUGGGGUUUACCCAAAAGAAACAACACUCUUAUACACUACACAGAGGUUGUUUUCUACACUUGCACUGCCGUCAUUGUUUUUGCUAUAGUUUAGGUCUACGAGAGUAGGGGGUUGGUGGAUUUUAUCCCUGAAACAGUCAUAAAGAGGGGAUUUUUCAUUUGUGUAAAUGGGAGGGAUUACCAUGCCACAUCAGGGUUGUUCCAGUUCCAAAACCUAAGAGCAAAGGUUGGGUCAUCGAUCAAUUUCCCCAAGAUUUUCUCAUAGAAAUAAAGGUACCAACGGUGGAAAGGGAAGAAUAGCCACGAGUUGUGGACUUUGAAGUCGAGCUUAGGGAACUCAACUUGUUUAUAGCCACCAUCACAGUAUGCACAAUGGAUGUUUGCUUGUUGUAUGAAACUUCGAGGAUCAUCAGGUGGAAGGGCUUUCAUGCGCGUAAGGGCUUUCUCAUACUUCUCUAGAUAGUCUUUGUUGAAGAAUUGAGCAGCUGAUCUAACCCUAACGGGUGUUCCUGGAGGAAGGAACCUGAAUUCUACAGGCUUGGAAGAAGGUUAUGGUGGGCAACAAUUGAGUUGUUUCUCAAUCCCCCUGGUACAUCAUCGAUUUCAACACAAUUUUCUAGUUUGGGUGGUUGAAAUGGAGCAGCGAUGGCUAAAGGGUUGUUGAUGUUGUUGCUAAGAGUAGAAGCAUCGUAAAUGCCUCCGCCAAGGAGAACAUGCCUCCUAUGUUUUCCUAGAAUAUUGUUGUGUGAUGAUGGUUUUCUUUUUCUGGGUACUGUUUUGUUUAAUGUUGCAUGACACUUUGGAAAUUACGAGAUGAUCAUUGAGGUUUUUUGGUUUGCUACGUUUGGUGGGUUUGCAUGGUAUUUGGAAGGUGGAAGAUGAGGAAUAAAAGGGAAUGGGAAGGGGUGGAGGAUAUAGAGAGGGAAUAGAAGCCAUGAUAUUAUUCGUUUGUUAUUCGAUCUUCUUUUGGCUCAUAAUGAUGAUAUCUACCAUCUUGCCCUUUUAUAGUAAUGAUCUUCCUUUGGCUUAUGAUUAAAAUUGAUCAAGUAAUGAUCCUUAUUAGUGUGUAUACAGUAUUUAAUUUGCACUGGCUCAUUGUUCCUUUUUAAGUUAUUUUUUCUGAUUGAGUGGUAAUCCCUAAGCAGAUUUUUCACAUAUGGAUUAAUUUGAUCCGUAUGAAAUACAGAUGAAAUUAAUCUAUAAGUAUGAAAUUCAUUUGUAUAAAACAUACGGAUCAAGUUGAUCUGUAUGAUUUAUAUAGAUGAAGUUUAUCCGUAUAAAAUAUACGGAUCAAUUUCAUCUGUAUGGUUUAUACGAAUGAAGUUUAUUCGUAUAAAACAUACGGAUAAACUUCAUCUGUUUAAACCAUACGGAUGAAGUUCAUCUUUAUUAAUUUUUUGGUUUUUUUUUUAAUUUCUUAAAGUUUUAUUUUUUAAAUUAUUAAUAUGUUAAAUUACUCAUUUGUGUAUUAAAUUUUUUUUACUAUUACAAAAUUUAAUAUAUAUUAAAUUUUGUAAUAGUAAAUAUUUUUUAUUUAUAAAAAAAUAUACGGAUUAAAUAAUUUGUAUGAUUUAUAUCAAAAUUAAUUGUCAUAAAAUUUAUUAUUUAAAUUUACAUGCACAUUAAAUAUAUAUUAAAAAUUUUAGUGUUAUGUAUAACAAUAUUAUUUAUUUUAUAAUGUAAUUAGUUCAUUAGUUCAAUUGGUUAAAGUAUUGUGUUAAUAACUUGAAAGUCACAAGUUUUAUUCUUAUUUUGAUCAUUAAUUUUAAAUUAAUUCAUCACAAAUAUUUUUCAAAAAAUGGAAUUAAAUAAGUAACCACUUUAAUAUCCUGUAUAAAAAUAUAAUAAAAAAAGUAGCCACUUAAUAGAAGGGACGUGAAACAUCCUAACCUUCUCAAUCUCAAUUUCUCUCCGCCCUUCCAAAACCUCUUACCUCUUCAUUAAAAAAUUUCAUCCUGAAAUACUAGUGCUUCUUUUUAAUUAAGAAUUAGGCAUAUACAAAGUAAUUCCUUUUCUUAAACAAUUUGUCAGAUGAUUUAAUUUGUAUUUAUGCAGUUUUAUGAUAACCUUAUCAUCUUAUUAAUUUCUUUUAUAGUAUGAAGUAUGAUUCUAUGGCAAAAUGAACUUUUGUUUAGAUAGUGUUAACCAAAACCACUUUUAAGGUAUAAAUAAAUAUUAUUGAAAUGAUAUAUAAUAUUAAGUUAUGAAAACACACACACACACACAUAUAUAUAUAUAUAUAUAUAUAUAUAUAUAUAUAUAUAUCUCAAGUGGGCAUUUUGGUUAUUUAUAUGAAAUUUGUUGGACAGUAAAAAAAAAAUAUAAGAAAUUCGUUAUACACGUUACGAGAAAAAAAUGAAAAAAAUAAAUAUUCUACUUUGGAUCAAACCAUUUGUUAAUUACUAUGCCAACAACAAACGAAACAUACAAUAAAAAUUUUCUUUGGCAAUAAAACAACAAAUAUUACUUUUGCCAUUGAGUAAUGGAAACGUGAUUUAUUUAUUUUUCUCUUAAAUUGCUAAACAUGGUGAUAUGAAUUUAAACUCAUUUGCAUGUUGGAAACACCUAGCCAAGCAUGCAAUAAUUAAGUAGUAAUUUGCCAGUGACAUAUUUUCACUCCUCCUUCUCAAACUCUAUCUUGAUGCUCUGAAUUGUGAUGGUUACAUUCUCAGAUCGUGGUACCAAUGUCACCAAAAUACUAUCAUCAUUUUCGGCAUCCAAGUCCUCUAACAAAUCCGUUAUUCCCAAUGUCAAACUAGUUUUGAUCUUCUUGUCCAUGUUCAUGUUUGAAUGGGAAUGACCCAGAGUCGCAAAGCUUCCAGCAAACUCCGUGUUCUCUGGUCCAAUCUCCUCGACAUCUUCAUCAGUAAUAUAUACAUCAAACUUGACAUCAUUAUCCCCAUCAAACUCGAUCCCAUCAAUCACCAACACUUCUUCCUGUUCCUCCUUGUCCUUCUUGCUCCUCAACUGCUUUGGCCUUUUAACAAGUAGAGUUACCUUUGAGUCCAAUAAAGUGAGAGGAAACUUGGAACUUGGGCCAGUCUCAGCAGCCAUUGCUUCACGAAUGCCGCCAAACUGUUGUGUGAACGCCACUUGCUUAGCUUUUCUAGUUCUUUUGGGUUUAGUCCUUUUCUGGAGCCAUGGAAUGUCAACAUCUUGGUAAACAUACCCCAUCUUUUUCAAGUCAAGGGAAUCUUUCACUUUCACACUCACAAGGUUCUUGUUCUCAUCGUAGAAGAAAAAGGUGGUUUCCAACCAAUCACGGUUUUUGAAAUCCCUUCUUUUUCUAGUUGGUAUUUUUUUCCAUAUGUUCCACAUCCUAUCGACGUUGGCAUGGUGAGAAUAGAAAAUGGGGUCUCUUGCAGCAGAAUAGAAUCUCCCCAUGUCCUCUUUGUUAGGCUGUCUUGGAUCACCGGUCCAACGGUGGAGAGCAGUAUGAGGACCAAGCUCUACAGUCCCUCCACCGAGUUCAGGCUGCUUUCCAGCAAAGAAAGUUUUUCCAUGGAAGAGCGAUGCGCGUUUCGCACCAAAGACAAUGUUAGGUACAGGAAGGGGAAGAUUCGUGAGAGAGAAGAUGAUGGUUGCCUUGAUUCGAGGUUAAGGUUCCUCCUGAAGGAACUAGCUUUUAUUGAAAGGAUAUAUUUGCCUUACUCGUACCACUUUCAGGCUUUUAUACAUGCUACAAUGGUUACAACGAACAUCUAACGGCCCUAACUACCAAGCUGGAGUAGUUACAACUAACUAACAGAAAGCUAGCGUAUACAUGCAAGGGUUUCUAUACGUAACUUUCUAAGUAUCGGGGUCUCGUGGUAGCUUUUCGUGGUCGUGCUUCGUUGCUACUGGUAUCAUUGUUGUUAACGUUCCUAACAAUAUCCUCCCCUGGGAAAGUCACCUUGUCCUCAAGGUGAUGGGAGUCGUGGAUAUCAGCCCAAUCUUCCCACGUUGACUCUUCUGGUGCCAUCCCUUUCCAUUGUACCAGUACAAGUUUCCUGGGUGGUUGACUUGAAGUGUCCAUGCGCAAAUCCAGAACAGCUAAGGGUUCUAAGAUAGGAUUAUUGUGAGUUGCAGCUGGAGGAAGUGGGGUUGCUUGUAAGUCGUGUGGGCCAUGGUGAGACCGGAGCAAUGAACAGUGGAAGACAGGAUGGAUUUGACAUCCUUCAGGUAAUUGUAGACGAUAUGCAACGUUGCCGACGCGUUCUAGCACUCGAAAAGGUCCAAAGUAUCGUUUAGCAAGCUUGUUGGAGGUCUGAGUUCGUAGUGAACAUUGCCGAUAAGGUCGAAGCUUCACAUAUACCAGCUGAUCGACCUCGUAUUGAGCCUCGCAACGCGAUCUAUCGGCGUAGUGCUUCAUGGUGUCUUGUGCCUUGAGUAACUUGCGUCUGAGGGUGGCGUAGAUUUCUUCCCUCGUGGUGAGCAUGGCAUCAACUGCUUCGUUGUGGGAAGAACCUCGAAGGUAGUUGUGAAUCGAAGGAGGAGGUUUUCCAUAGACUACCUCAUAAGGGGUAAGCCCAGUGCCCGAGUGUUGCGAGGUAUUAUACGACCAUUCCAUCAAGGGUAAGAACUGGUACCAAGCUGUGGGUUGUUGAUGAACAAAGGCGCGUAGAUAUGUUUCGAGUGUGCAGUUUAGGACCUCUGUCUGACCAUCCGUUUGUGGAUGGUAGGCAGUACUCAUUCGAAGAGUGGUGCCACUCAUUCUGAACAAUUCUCUCCAAAAUGAGCUGAGGAAGACUAGAUCUCGGUCUGAGAUGAUACUUCGAGGAAAGCCAUGCAGGGUAGGGCGUCGUAACUGCAUUGAGAGCUCGGUAGUCAACACACAUGCGCCACGAUCCAUCUUUCUUCUUCACCAGUAAUACCGGAGAGGAAAAGGGGCUUUGACUUGGCCGUAUGAGCCCGAAAUUCAACAAUUCCGAUACUUGCUUCUCGAUUUCCGUCUUCUGAAAGUUUGGAUACCUGUAGGGCCUGACAUUCACGGGGUUGGUCACAGGGAGGAGGUUGAUAUGGUGGUCGUGGUGUCUAGGGGGAGGUAAUUCUGAAGGGGUGUGAAAGAUGGAGUGGUAGCGGAGUAGAAGCUUGUUAAUGGCAGGUAUGGGAUGUGGGGGGUCUGUGGUUGAUUCGAGUUGGUUCACAGGUAAGAGUGAAAUGUGGAAUAAGCCAGAAGUGGAGUUGGUGGAGAUCAUUUGUCUAACCUGGGUAGCAGAUGCUGGAGAGUUAUCGACAUAAACAUCGGCAUGAAGGUUGACUGGUUGAUCUUUGUAGACGAACUGCAUGGUAAAUGAUGAAUAGUCAUUGGUUAUGGGCCCUAAGGUACAAAGCCAUUCCACUUCGAGCACAAUAUCCGCCCCACUCAAUGGCAGCACCCGUAACGUGACCGUAAAGGUAUGCCCCUGCAUGAGAACUUGUGUAUCGGAGCACAGCUGGUGGCAUUGUAACACGGAACCAUUGCCCACCAUAACUCUGAGGGUUGUUGUCUCCUUCACAGGUAAGCUCAGGAAUUUUGCAACACGAGGUUGAACGAAAUUGUAAGUGCUUCCGCUGUCGACCAAUAUGGUGACGCGAGCACUGUUGAUCAACCCAUAUAAGCGAAAAGUGUCAGAGGCAAGGACACCAGCCAAUGCAUGAAGGCUAAUAUGGGGGUGGGGUGCGUUCGGGUCAAGAAAUGGGUUGGUUUCGUCCGGGGUGGGGUUAGGUUCAGUUGCUGGGAAGUGUGGGUAGUCUGUUGAGGGAGGUUCAGAUGUGGCGGGUUCAUCAAGGUCCGCGAUGAGGAGCAAGACUCGACCCUUGCAUCUAUGUGAUGAACUCCACUUUUCAUCACAAUUGUAACAUAGACCCAUUUCUCUUCUAAAUGUCAUUUCUUCCUGGAUUCUUUUGAUAAAUGGGGCCUUGGGUCGUGGUGCGAGAUGGGUGGGUGUGUGAGGUACAGGUGGGUUUGGUGGCGGAGAAGGCCCAAACGAGGCCUUGGAAGUGUGCUUCUUUCGAUCCAAUAGCUUGUCUUCCUACAGACAAGCGAGGGUUGUAGCUUGUGGUAAUGAAAUAGGCUAGAAGGCCUGCACUUCACGGCGGAUUUUCGGGUUGAGACCGGAGAUGAAACAGCUAAGCAAGACGGAGGGGGAGAGACCUGUGAUACGGUUGGCGAGUCUCUCAAACUCGAUGAGGUAGUCUGUCAAAGACCCGCGUUGAACAAGCUUGAACAAGGUUCCUCGUGGAUCAUCGUAGAACGAAGGUGCAAACCUUGCUUCGAUUGCUUGGAGAAGGGCUGGCCAAGACGUAAUGAAACCAUUCCUGAACAUCCAUUGAAACCAGCUGAGAACCGGUCUGUCGAGAUAAAAGGAGGCCACCAUGAUUCGAUCUUCCUCCGGGGUUCCCUGGUAGUCGAAGAAUUGUGAUACUUUGAAGAUCCAUCCUAGAGGAUUGUGGCCGUCAAAGCGGGGCACGUCGAGCUUGACGGGUGGCCGUGGAUGUGGAGAAGGUUGGGAAGGUGCUGGUGAGGCAGAGGUGAGGUGUGAGAGACGCUCGCACCAUGCUUCUAACUUAUUGGCCAAGUCGGAGUGUCUCUCGGAGAGGGCUGCUAUGGCUUCUUCAAGGCGGUCUGUGGUUGUGCGACGAGUGCCGUGCUCCGCCAUAGUAGCAGGUCGGACCAGUGUUAGGUACGGGAAGGGGAAGAUUCGUGAGAGAGAAGAUGAUGGUUGCCUUGAUUCGAUGUCAAGGUUCCUCCUGAAGGAACUAGCUUUUAUUGAAAGGAUAUAUCUGCCUUACUCGUAUCACUUUCAGGCUUUUAUACAUGCUACAAUGGCUACAACGAACAUCUAACGGCCCUAACUACCAAGUUGGAGUAGUUACAACUAACUAACAGAAAGCUAACGUAUACAUGCAAGGGUUUCUAUACGUAACUUUCUAAGUAUCAGGGUCUCAUGGUAGCUCUUUGUGGUCGUGCUUCGUUGCUACCGGUAUCAUUGUUGUUAACGUUCCUAACAGACAACACUCGUAUACAUUACACCAAGGUUUUGUUCUACACUUGGUUCCUUGCCACUGCCAUAGUUUAGGUCUACGAGAGUAUCAACUGUGAUGUCUGGAUUCCUGCGAGGGUCAUAAAGAGGGGAGUCUUCAUCUCUGUAAAUGGGAGGGAUUACCAUGCCGCCAUCAGGGUUGUCCCAGUUCCAAUAUGGAAGAGCGAAGGUUGGAUCAUCAAUCAAGCUCCCCAAGAUUCUCUCAUAGAAAUAGAGGUACCAACGGUGGAAAGGGAAGAACAGCCAAGAAAAGUGAACUUUGAAGUCUAGCUCAGUUGGGAACCCUAAUUGUUUAUAGCCACCAUCACAGUAAGCACAAUGGAUAUCAGCUUGUUGCUUGAACUUCGAGGAUCAUCAGAUGGAAGCUCUCUCAUGCGCUUAAGGGCUAACUUAUACUUUUCUAGGUACUCAUCAGUGACGAAUUGAGCAGGUGGUCUAACCCUAAGGGGUGUUCCUUUAGGCAACUUGAAAUCUAUUGAAGGGGAAGAAGAUCUUGGUGGGCAACAAUAGACUUGUGCCUCGAUGACCCCUUUAGGUGGUACAUCAUCAGUUAUACAACAAUGUUCUAGGUCAGGUUGGAGAAUAGGAGCUGCAGCCAUGGCUAAAGGGUUGGUGUUGCUAAGAGCAGAUGCACCGUAAAGGCCCCCAAUGCCAAGGAGAACAUCCCUUCUAUAUUUUCCUAGAAUGUUGUAUGAUGGUCUUUCUUCUUUUGGGUUUGGUGUUGGGGUGUUUUGGUUACUGUUGCAUGUCACUUUGGAAAAGUGGUGGCGUUUUGGUUUGCUACGUUUGGUGGGUUUGCAUGGUAUUUGGGAAGUUAGGAAGGUGGAAGAUGAAGAACAAAUGGAAAUGGGAAGAGGUGCAGAGAAAUUGAAGAGGGAGAAAGAGGAUAGACAGGAUAUAGAAGCCAUGAUCGAUCUUCUAUUGGCUCAUAAUGAUCGAUCUACAAUCUUUGCCCUUUUAUAGUGAAGUUAUAUGAAGACUGUCCUUUAUAAAUAAAUAAUGACAUUAACAUUCGGCAAAUUGGGAUUGAAAAAUUUCUUUAAAAUUUAAUUUAGAUUCUUUUUCAAAAAAUAUGAAAAUGUCCUUGAUUGAUUCACCAAAAUUGUGGCUGAAGAAAAUGUCGUGGGUCUGAAGAUAAUGUGGUAAAUAUAAUGGAACACUGAUUAUUUCAUUUGAUCCCUACUACGUACGAACCAAUUAAUUUCAUGCAAAUCUUUUCAAUAAUCUUCUAAAGAAUUAUGGUGCUUUAAAUGGUAACAAUGUGUCGUUUACUUUUAGGGUGACUUUAAUACAUAAAAUUAUAAAGUAAAACAAAUUGGUAUGAAUUUCAUCAUUUUAUUCUUUUUAAUUUUUAUUGUUUCACUCCUAUAAUAAUACCGAACACAGAGAAUAAAUUAGUGAUACAAACUCAUACCUUGACUUAGAAACUAGGGUUACGAAUUUCAUAAAAGUUUAUAAUAUUUCUUUUGUAAAAAUAUUAUAUAACUUUUUUCUUGUCCCCACUAAAUAAGCUUUUGGGAGUUUGUCCCCAUUAAUGUUAUAUAUUGCACCUUUGCUAACUACUAUGGAUUUUACAUGUCUCCCCUUUUUUCCUGCGAGCUAGGCUAUAUAUUGAGCAAUGAUGUAUUGUUAAAACAAAUGUCUAGUCUGAUCCUCAAAGCCUGAAGCGACUUCCAAUAUAUAUGCAUGGAUCUUGUUGCUGCAAUUUGGAUUCAAAUGUUUUUGCGUUAGGUCUUAACCAAGUUAUUUGUUAGAUCUCAAUCAAGAGAAGGUAGCUAUUUUGAAGGUUUAGAUCUUCUACAGUUAUAUUUUUAUUGUACAAGAUUUUUUUAAUAGACAAAUAAAAUAUAUAUUAUAUAAAUAGAAGAAUUCUGGCAGGAUCAUGAAUAAUUCCCCCACGACCCCACUAGACCCUUAAUUAACGGCAUUGGGAAAGAUUUUAGUCAUAGAAAUUAUUUAAUUUAAUUUAUUUUAUAAAACAAAUGUUUUAAAUAUAAAGUUUAAUGAUAUUAAUUUUAUACUGUUAUUUAAUUAUAAAUCCACAUUUUUUUAAGUUUAUGUUUAAAAUCAUGAAUAAAUGAGAUAAAUUUAAUUUAUUCUUGGAUGUUAAAUUUUAAUGAAGAGAAUUCAUUAUUCGUAUUUCACUCCCUACUUUGGAAAUGAGUGAUGAUGGAAGAGAACAGGUGGGUUGGAGAUAUUGUUUCUUGGUUUUGCGUGUAACAUGUUCCCACUUCUCUCCUCUGGCCUUACUUCUGAUCAAUGCUGUGCUUUGUUACAGGUUACACGAUUAUAUAUAGAUGUAAGACCUUUUUUUUUUGUUACAAGAGUGAAUAAAGACAGAAAGGACAAAGGAUAGAAACUAAAAGCAAAAGCAGCAAGUCUCCGCGAGGGAAGCAAGUUCCCAUCUCAUCCUCCCUGAUCGAGUCAUUAGGUAACUCAACGGAUUGAUGAAACAUUGAUGAUAAGUCUUAUCAAAUAAAAAUUAUUUUUAGAUAUUCUAUUAUAUGAAAAACUUAUAUGAUAAUUAUUUUGGUUAAAUAAUAAUUAUUUUUAAACAUUUCAUUAUUCACAUAAAAAAUUACAUUAUUUAUAAUCGUCACAUAUUUAUUAUUAUAAGUAUAUAAUUAUUCUAUCAAAUUGUGUCUUUCUUUGGAUUGAACACAAUUCACAUAAAUAAUUUCAUGCAAUAUUCAUGUAAAUUAAAUCAAAUUAACUUAGAGAUUAUUUUUUCUUCAAUCAAUUUGAUCCAAAAAUACAAAAUAAUUUAAUAUAAUAAAUAGGAAGUCUUAAAAUUACACAAUUUUCACAUAUAAUUUAAUUAUAUAAAAAUAUAUAUAACAGAACAUGCAAGUAUAUAUAACAAAACUUAGCACAACAUUAAUUCCUAGAAAAAUUAAUUUAUAAUUAUUACUAUCAACGCAAUGAUCCAAUAUUGACAAUAAUGGUCAAAUAAUAGUGUUUCUUUGGACCAACUAUUAUUCACACGUAAACAUCUUAUAAUUGUCACACAUUUAUCAUCUAGGUAUAAAAUAUUAUUUGGUCAAAUUGCAUCUUCCUUUGGGCCGAACACAAUUCGCAUAAAUAAUGUUAUACAAAAAUCUAUCUAAUUUUAAUCAAAUCAAUUUUCACAAUAGAGAUUACUUUAAAAAUAUAUCGUGUCAAUCAAUUUAAUUAAAAAAAUCAGUAGAUAUGCAAAUAAAUGGAAAAGGAUGUGUUAAUGCUAAAUUAACUCCAAUCAUGUAGCAAAAAAAUAUAAAACAUUAAUUACGGUAAGUAAAUAUCAUAUUCUUAAACUAUAUUUAAUGUUAUCAUUGAUUUAUACUUAAAAUAUCCCAAGUAAAUAUUGCAUUUUUUAUUUUUUUUGCUGAGAGCAUCCUUAGUUUUCUUUUUUUUAUUAUGAGAGGUCAAACUUAAAUGAACACUUUUAGAUAUGUCUCACUACAACUUAUCUUCCUCUUGCACACACUGAGAUAUAAGCUCAUUAAUGAAAGUGAGAUUACACACAAUGAGAUAUAAGUUCAUUAAUGGACUCAUUAGACAUUUUGUACUCUCUUAUAUAACUUUCCCUCUUCUUUACAAAAAUAAUAAUAAAUAAAUAACACAAAAAUUGCAUACGCAAAAAAAACUUCUUUAUAUAUCAUGAACAAUAAGACUUAUUUAUUGUGCGUUAACCUAAUAGGGUUCUCAUUUUCCUAUAAUGGAUCAACACUUACAUAUGUUCAUUUAAAUUCAUAUCAUCUUAUUUAUUUAGUUAGACUCACUUGAUUUGAUCACAUGAAAUAAAAUUCACUAAUCACAAAUAACUAAUAUAAUUAUCUUAUUAACCUAUAUUAAUUAUUGAAAUAAAAAAUUCCAAUAAGAGAAACGUGGGAAAAAGAAAGGGAGUAACUUGUAUUUUUCAAAUUAAAACAAAUUAAAGUAAAAUUGAAAUUAUUUAACAACCCUUCAAUUUAUGCUUAUGUAAAAUAAAAAAUGAACAUUUUUUUAGUGCAAGUGAAAAGAUGUUAAAGUGUUAAUAUACACCUUCUAAUUUUCUAUUUUUUAGUGGGUGUAUAUUAAUUAGCAUUCCCCAAAAAUAAAUACCUUAUAUACUCACUUAAAACUCAAUAUAAAUAAAAAAGUUAAUAAAUUGGAAAUAUUUAUUUUAUACUAAUAAAUUUAAUAUUUAUCUUACAAUAAACUUACAAUAUAAAUUAAAGAAAUAUCAUUUUAAAAUAAAAAAUAUUUUUCUCCAAGUUUUACAAGUUACAAACAAUAUUUCAUCUCUACUAAAAACAACAAUAAUUCAUACGAACUGCAUGUUACUAUAUUGCAAGUGCAACUGAGAGAAAAACUAAAGAAUAUAUGACAGCAAAAGUUUCAAUUUGAACGGAAGAGAUUUUUGUGAGAUUCACGUAAUAUUUUUUUUUUCUUUUCUCUUUUCACUCCCUUUCCUCCAAAGAGUAGAAACCGACGUUUUCCCCUCAACUCUCAAGUACAGGAACAGAUUUUAUCAAAUUUUGAACUAAGUAUUUAUAAUUUAACAUUUUUAAUUCAACUUUUAAGAAUUUAAAAUGUUGUAACUAUAAAUCCUUAAAAAACAUAUAAAGUUAUUGCACCUUUGUUACUAACUAAGUACUAUGGAAUUCACUAUUUUCACUCUUUAGUUUGGAAGAGACAGGUGAUGGGGAGAGAACACGUGGGUGUGUUUCAUGCUUUUGCUUAUAGCUACUGGUCAAUGCUUUUGUUUCAGGUUACAGCAUUAUCAAUUGAUGUUAGUCUAAACCCACCGGCCUGUUUCUUACAGCAGAGGGAGAUAAUGGAGUAGAUAAAAAUAAUGAAAUUGUCUGUUACAGCAGAUUCAUUACAGAAAUAAAUUUAAAAUUAUUGGGCUUGUUUCUAUUGCUUACUCUCGACUGAAGUAAAAGAACACACACAUAUAUAUAUAUAUAUAUAUAUAUAUAUAUAUAUAUAUAUAUAUAUAUAUAUAUAUAAAUUUAAUUAAUUUCACUUUUACUUAAUGACAUUAUUUUUAAAAUAUUUUUUUAUUUAAUUAUAAUUUUAUUUUAUUCAUGAUAUUAAAUUUGAAUAAAUGAUAUUUUUGACAUUAUUAUUAUUAAAUGAUUUUAAUUAACCUUUUUAAUUAGUAUAAAAAUAUUUAAUUUUACUUAUAUAUGAUUAUAAAGGAAUUAUUAUAUUUUUAUUUAUUUUUAUUCAUCUUUCUCUCUCUAUUUAUUUUUUCUUUAUUUUACUUCAAUCAAACAUUUAUUUCUCAUUUAUUUGUAUUUUUUAUUUUUUUUAUUUUUAUCUAUUCUAUUUCUCUCUUCUCUACCAAACAUAACAACAAAGCUACAAUUUUCAUAUUUAUUUAAAUAAUACAAUUUUCAUAGUUAAAUGAUAUAUAUUUCAGAAUAAAUAUUUUUAAGAAUAUGAAUUUUGUGAAAAAGAAGACAAAAAUGAAAGAAAAUAAAAUUUACUCAGCCAACAAUCUUUAAAAAUAUGUGUUAGUUUUAAAUAUUUAAUUAUAUUUUUAAAAAAUAUAAAAGCUGUAAAAAAAUAUUCAAAACACCAUAAUUGAAAACUUGAUAACAUUAUAAAAAUUUAUAGGUCAAUUUAAUUAUAAAAAAAAUAUUUGAUAAAGGGAAUGUGUCCUGAUUAAAUGUGAGAGACUAAGAAUAAGUGGAUAUUUUGAUUUUAGAAGUUUUCCAAUAUCUUCCAUUUCAAAAACAAAAAAAAAAAGUUUCCAAUAUCUUCAUUCUCAUGAAAAUGUUAAUACGCUUUUUAUUGAGAUAUAGCUAUGGGUAUUUUUUUUAUUCAAAGUAAUUUUAUUUGAGUAAAGUAAAAUUAUUAUAAGAUAAGUUUUAUUCCUUCUAAAUUUAAAUAUAAGUAUAAAAAAAAGGUCCAACUUUGAAAGACUAAAAUAUGAGUAAAUUUUAACUAUUUCAAUCCUAUUUAAGGUUACUAGUCCAAAAGUACCUUUAAGUUUAAAUUUCAGCAUAAUCUUCAAUAAAUACGAUUAAUUAGAGUAGAUUUAGAAAUGUAGUUUUUCUGUAAAAUUAAAAAAAUUAAAUAAACAUAAUUAAUUUCUUAAUCAAUGUGAAGUCAUGUAUUUUUUUUCUUAUAUUUGACUUCAAACUUCUUUAUCAGAGUAAAAUUUAUCUUUCAAAUAUUAAUAUUUAACAUAGUUGAAAUUAAGACUCAAAUUCAAAACUAUCAAUUAAAUUAAAAGGAUUUAAUAUGUCGUUAGUCAAAAUGAUAAUGAAUUUAAAUUCUUAGUCUAACAUAAAGUUCAGGAUCAUCAAUCAUUAAAUACUUUCUAAUAAUAAUAAAGUAAAAAAUAAAAAAUUAAGAGAAUCUUGUACCCAAGAGCAGAUGAUCAACGAUUAACUUUUGGGGCACUUCCUAUUCUUUUUUUCAUAUAUAUAUAAAAGUAAUUAUUUUUAUUUAGAGGUUUAAUUGUGUAAAUAAUGUCAAAGGUUGUUAUAAUGUACUUUUAAUGUUGUAAUCACUUUUUUGUUCACCAUAAUAUUGGUGUCAAGUAUUGAUAGCUUAAAUUACUUGUAUAAACCAAUGUUGGUUUUUAAAGGUUGUCAUUGUCAACACAACAUUUUUCUUCUUCUAUUUUCUAACUAUUUGAAAGGAAAUUAUUUUUCAGCAUUGUUGGUUAUUAUUGUUGUAAAAGAUAAUUUAGUGAAUAGCAUAAUCUUUAUAAUUUAUUAAGCAAUACAUUUUUUGAACAUAAUAUGAUUUUAAUUUUAUAAAAAUAUAUGCUUACCAGAUAUAUCAAUUUUUAUUAUAAAUUCAUUAGGAUUCAUGGUGGCGCGUGAAGUUAGUGAUUAAUUGUUAUUUAUAAUUUUGGGUCUUUAAAAAAAUAUUUAAUUUAUCUUCUUUGUAAAUAUAUUCUUUAUUUUAUAUGUUUAGAUUAUUUUAAAAAUAUGUAAUUAUAAAUACAUAGUAUAAAUUUUGAUGUUAAUUAAUAUAUUUAUUAAAUGAAUUUUAAUUUUCAUAUUUAUGCCUCAGUUGUUAAAUUCUGGGUCCACCCUGCUUGUACCAAUUGAUACACAUUCAAUGAUAACAUUUUUACGUACGCUUUAACAAUCAGUAAUUCUUUAUUAAACAAAAAAAAAUCAUUGAUUAUCCCAAAAGAAAAAAAAAAUCCGUAUGUUGAAAGAUUAAUGAAUAUCUGUUUACAGAAGUUUUUAACAAUAUCUUCAUUUUCUUGAAGACGGCAGUAUGCUUUAAUAAUUAGUGAUUAAUACAUUUACAUAUUAUUCUUACUUGAAAUAUAAAUACAACAAUUGUGAGUCCCGGAAUGCAAUUCACAUAAACUUAUUAUUAUAAAAAAAAUAUAACAAUUUUUCCAUUUUUCAAAUCAAAUAGAAGACGUGGUUAAAUAUUAAUUAGAAAUUUUAUAAUUAAAUGGAAUAUGUAGUUAAAUAUUAACCAUUAAUUACUAGAUCACUCCUUUCAUAAAAGAAAGUGAGUUGAUAGCAUAAAUGGGAGAAUAAAGUCAUGAAGCUUUAGAUGGAACAUAUUUGUUACUCAAUUUGUGUCUUUUCUUUUAACAAAAUUCUUAUUGAAUAUUUUUAAGUUUAUAUUUUUAUUUAGUAAAUAUGUGUUUAUUCUAAAAAUAAAGAUGAAUUGAGAGUAAAACAUAGAAUUUUGAUGAAUGAAAUGAUUAAAAAAUUGAGACAGUGGUCACUUAUUGAAAAUAUAAUUAUUAAAAAUUUAAAUUGAUUAAGUGCUAUAUAUAAAUUAGUCUUGAAUAAAAUUAUAAUUCUCCAUGUAAAUGAGUUGAACAAAAUUAUAAUCUCUAUAAAUAUAUUUUAAUGUCAAACUUACCAAAAUUUAAACUAAACGUUAAAUAAAUUUAAAUUUUAAACUUAAAUUAAUUUAUUUAAUUAAAAAAUAAGUUUAACUAAAAAUUUAAUAAAUUAAAUACAAAAAGUACACAAAUACCUUAAUAUCAACUCAAUCAUAAUAAUUACAAGUAUACUUUUUUUAUUCCUACAGGCUACAUGUAUAGCAACAUAUCUAAAUGCACAAAAAAUAAUACGUGGCCCCAUUGGUAGUUACUCACAUUUUUCACAUUUACAAGUGUGGUGGAAUCAGUAUCAAUGGUCGCCUCUGAUUUGGAUUUUUGUUACCUAAUUUAGCAGUACCAUAUAAUUUCGCGAGCAAAAGUAAAUUUUGAUGUACAAAUCAAUAAAGGAAAGUUGCAAGUGUGAUCCAAUAAUUAUCAAUAUUGUCCACGUCGAAAGUGUUAUCCAAUACAUAUCAAUAAUGGCAACUUUAAUUUAAAGUUGUGAUCCGAUAAAUAUAGUCCUGUAUUUGUAUGUGUUUUUUUAUCAACAAAAAUUAAUUUAUUAGUUUGAUUAGAAAUACAAAAAUUAAUUUAUUAGUUUAUUAGAAAUAUCAGGGAAAGAAAUUCGAAGAAAUAACUUCUUUUUUCCCUCUUCUUCCUUUAUCAUAAGUUCACUUUUCAGUCACUAGUUCAAUCUUACAUCUCUCCCUAAACUUCAUGAAAUAUGGUAACAGAUGUUGUAGUUUUUUUUAUCCGUACGAAGAUACUUAAUUUCAACAAAGACCAGUGUGGUAAUAAUAAAGUUAAUUGGCAAGAAAUUUCAUUCAUGAUAGAUUAGAGGUGGGGGACAGUGAGUACAAUUAGAUGGUCUCGUAAGUGAAGCUUAAUUAAUUGAAGAGAGCCUUAAUUUAUGUUCCCAAAAGGAAGAAGAGUUCAAAUGAUAAUAGAAGUUGUUUAAUGUCCUCCAUCUGUAUCCUCAAUCAGGUAUAUAGAUGGAAACAUCAUUAAUCUUUACUCUUACCCUACUAGCAAAUACAUGGAUAUUUGCUUAUGCUUUGCCUAGAAGUCUAGCUAGUCAUACAAUUUUAAGAACCAAACCAAACUGAAUAUGGUGUGUUGAAUAUUAUUAUAUAUGCUGAACCAAAGAAACCCUCAACCACCUGAAGACACUAUUCCAAAUUAAACAUGAAAUGAAAAAUAAAUAAAUAUCCAGGAAUAGAUGAGAAAAUGUGUGCCUUGGCAGUGCACUAGUGAAUUAGCAUAACUUGAGUUGUCAUUUUUUGAGAUUUUUUAAGGUAUACUUUGAUUUUUUAUGAUUAUUUUAAGUAUAAAAGUUUGCAGGUUAUGAAUUCUUUAUAUUUUUUUUAAUAUAAGGCAGGUAAUGUACAUCAAUAAUAACUUAUUGGAUCAACCUCUAUUUACCUGAUAACAUUAAUUUGGAGUGUCUAAUUAUAUUUAUCAAAAAUCUAUACCCUUUUCUUUUUUUUUCAGCAAAACAAAAUACUUUAUAAAUAUAUGAUGGGCAUAAGAAAUACCGUACAGUAACCUGUGAUGGUUAAUUAGUUAAUAUUUAUGAUAUGAACCAGAAAUAUUUAAUAACCAUCAAUACCUCCCAGUAAACUACACACCCACAACCAAUCAAGAAAGCAAACUCCCCUUUUCUUAUUUAAACCUGAGCUAUAAAAAAAUGAAUUGGAAAAAAUACGGGUAUAAAUAUUGAGGCAUUGGCAUAACAUACCAAUCUAACUAAAAGUAUGAUACCACGACCUAGCCAGAGGCAAAACUGCAGUGAACAUACAAGUGUAUGUAUAGUUGUAGAAUCAUCAAGAGAAGUGAACAUAUUCACUAACAUGGGUGGCAAAGCAUUUCUUCGAACCAAAUUAUCUUUCGUUGGUUAACUAAUAGUUAAACUAUUCUUUUCAAUUAAUAUAUAUUAAUUAAAAGGAGAUUAGGGGUUAUAUUGCAUUAUAAACAAAUGUAACAAUAAAACAAACAAUUUAACAAACAUUUAUUAUAACAAUAACAUAGUAUCCCUCAAAGAUGAAAGGGAUCUAUUAAGUUCCAAGGCAAAUAACUACACCUACAGCACACUAAUUUUUAUAUUAUUAUGUGUGACUAUUGUUAAUAUGUUGCUCAACGGAAAUCAGAAGUAUCUCCAAUAUUCCACACACCAAGAAAAAAUGGUUUUUAGAGCCAGAAGAUUUCUAAUUUUACAAAGUGAGUCCUUAAUCAGUUAGUGACCAAAUAUGAGACCAAUUUUAGCAAGUAGCUAAAGUUUUAGUCGCUGAUUGUUGAUUCCAAUUUAGACACUGAUUUAAAAACCGAUUAGAUGACUGGUUUUUUUAGAUUUUUUUUUGUUAUCACAUGUGUACAUAACCUAAGCCUUCACCAAAUAGCUUAAGUUUUCUUUGGAGUUUGAAAUUUCCAAUCUAGAUCUCCAUUAAAACGUGAAAUAAAACCCUCAAAUCUAGAUCAAUAUUUAAAUAGCAUGCCAAACCCAUAUGUGUAGUGUUAGGCAAAAAAAAUCAAAUUGUGCCAAAAUUAAUAAUGAGACAAUUCAAACCCUUUAGUCCUUGGAAACUCACAUUACUUUAGAACCUUUAGGUGGAGAUAGAUAACUUAAAUUUUUCACGACUCACAAUUAAAAUACCUACUAAUACAAAUGUCAUGAGUAGGGAUGCUAAGAAUAUGCAUACUUGCAAGUAUUUGUUCUCAUCUUGAAGAAAAAUACACAUUUUGGUCGAAUAUCAAUAUGAAUAUUACUCGUCAUUGGUGUAGGUAACUAUAAAGAUGAAAGUUGUGAUGAUAAAAGUGAUAAUAAUUGUAAUAGUUAGGGAUGAAUCUUUAUUCGGACAUAUGGGGACAUGGUCAUCUAACCAAUGGCCCAAUAUAUUAAAUAAUUUUAAUAGUACAUUUUUUCACCUCAUUUUCUCUCUCAAACUUACUAUAAAAGACAAUAAUAUCUCAGAAGAGAAAUACGCAAAUGAUUAACCAUGGCUUCUUCUACAUCACAUCCAUCCUUUUGGUCCCUCCUGAACCUGUCUGCAUCCAUUCCCAUUUCUUCUUCCGUAUGCAUGUUCCCACCGUCUAAAAAACCUAGCAAAGCAACAAAACGGCGUCAUGCUUGGGAAGUAGCAUGCAAUGGUAACCCUAGAAAUAGGAGGGACAUUCUGAUCGGCCUUGGAGGACUCUAUGGUGCUACAACAAGUCUCACAAGUAACAACACUGGUUCUGCAUUUGGUGCUUCAUUGUCGCCUCCAGAUCCAACUAACUGCGUUCAACCGGACCCAGAAAAAGACCCUUUUUGCCCACCACCCCCCUUCAAAGACUACGAGCUCCCUCCACACGAUGACAAGACAUUACCCCUUCGAAUUAGACCAGCUGCUCAUUUGGUCACUGAUGAUUACAUAGCCAAGUACGAGGAAGCCGUGAGGCGCAUGCAAGACCUUCCACCUGAUGAUCCUCG
rnacentral:lncRNA from 1 species